GAUGAACGCUGGCGGCGUGCUUAACACAUGCAAGUCGAACGAGAAGUGAAGACGGGAACCUUCGGGCGGAAGGCUUUAUUUCGAGUGGCGGACGGGUGAGUAACGCGUGGGUAACCUGCCUCAUACAGGGGGAUAACAGUUGGAAACGACUGUUAAUACCGCAUAAGACCACAGCACCGCAUGGUGCGGGGGUAAAAACUCCGGUGGUAUGAGAUGGACCCGCGUUCGAUUAGCCAGUUGGCGGGGUAACGGCCCACCAAAGCGACGAUCGAUAGCCGAUCUGAGAGGAUGACCGGCCACAUUGGGACUGAGACACGGCCCAAACUCCUACGGGAGGCAGCAGUGGGGAAUAUUGCACAAUGGGGGAAACCCUGAUGCAGCGACGCCGCGUGAGUGAAGAAGUAUUUCGGUAUGUAAAGCUCUAUCAGCAGGGAAGAAAAUGACGGUACCUGAGUAAGAAGCCCCGGCUAACUACGUG
rnacentral:rRNA from 1 species